UACAGGGGGGGCAAGCGUUGUUCGGAAUUACUGGGCGUAAAGGGUUCGUAGGUGGCCAACUAAGUCAGACGUGAAAUCCCUCAGCUUAACUGGGGAACUGCGUCUGAUACUGGAUGGCUUGAGUGUAGGAGAGGAAUGCGGAAUUCCAGGUGUAGCGGUGAAAUGCGUAGAUAUCUGGAGGAACACCGGUGGCGAAGGCGGCAUUCUGGACUACAACUGACACUGAGGAACGAAAGCCAGGGGAGCAAACGGG
rnacentral:rRNA from 2 species